UGCACUAGAGGUUUUAUUAUCUCCUGUGACCUAAAAAACAGCCUUUUAUUAAAAAAAAAGAAAGGGAACGUGUUCCCAGUGGGUCUGUGUUGAUGCAAAUCCCACACGAAGGAGUCCAGCAGUGGCCGGCAUGCCUGGACAUGGGGCCUUUCAUCUGUUCUCCCUCUCCCUGUUCAUAGCAAAUGGAGAAGCAGCUGGGAUCUGUGUCCUUGUGCUUUGGAUGUGAAUGCACAAGUUUCACAGCAGGAUUGGUGUCAGAAGGAACAGAGUGAAUAAAGGAAGGGCCGUGAUUCAUGGGAGCCUCUGGCUUGGUUCCCAGAGCAGACUCCUUGUGUCUUGAAGGACCGGCAAGUAUGGAGGAGCCUGACCACAAAUAUUUCACCAGGACUUAAUAUCUCCUGCACCUUUCCCACUGGGCUCAGCUGCAGAGCUCUGGAGGUGGAUCAUGCAGCGAUCACUGGUGAUAAAGUCCUGUUUCCAUUGCCAAAUAUUCCCUGGCAAACGUGGGACGUGGCGCUGGGUGCUCCUGUGGGGACUCGCACGUGGUUUCCACCACGCCAAGGAGAGCUGUGCCUGAGGAGCAGGAGUUUCUCCCAGCUGUGCUGUCAGGGACACAAACUCCCCAGCUCUGGGACUCACACUGACCCUUUUCCUAAGGAAUCCAGGGGUAUAUUUUUCUGGAGCAGCUGGUAUUGGAUUGGAAGGUCAUAGUGGUGAUGGAGGUGGUGGGAAGGGAGCUGAUUUUCCCAAGGUGACAUUGGAAGUCUGUGGCAUGAGUGCAGCUGUGCUUCCAUUUAAAUUCCAUCCUUUUUGUUCCUUUGUUCCUUCAUCCCCAAGAAUCCGUGUGCUGUUAACACACUCAGAAUUAAGGCAAGUGUGACUGCCCAGCUGCCAGGGCUGUGCUGCCAAGGUGCUGCACCUAAGGCAAGCACAGCAGGAACCUGGAGCAGCAGGAACUGUUACUCUGCAUUCCCCCAGCCAGCUCCUGCCUUCCAAAGUGCAAGGGUCGAUUUUCCAUGAAAUUUGGCCAUUUGUUGUCACACAACUUGCAGGAAAAGGGUUUUCUCUGUGGCUUCUCCCUCGUUUGCCUGGAAUCAGGAAUGUAUUAAAACUCAUGGUCUUACAGAGGA